CCUGGCAGCCUCUGGGAAGAAGCAAGGGACUCUGGCAGAGGCUACAGGCUCCUUGGGCAGCGCGGAAGGAAGAACCUCUCAAGAUGUCUUCCAGUAAUGACCCCACUGUAAUACCAAUGGCAGAAAGACGUUAUGGUGACCUUCCCGAAACAAACACCAGUGACCCGGAGACACUGACUGAAGAGGCUGUGUUGAGUUUUCACAACAUCAGCUACAGAGAAACAGUGCAGAGCGGAUUUCCACUUCGUCAGCAGACACAUGUGAUGGAAAGACUGUCGAGCAUCAGUGGGAUCAUGGGACCUGGCCUCAAUGCCAUUAUGGGACCUCAGGAUGGGAGCAGAUCUCUGUGAGUAUAAC
rnacentral:lncRNA from 1 species